UACGUAGGGUGCAAGCGUUGUCCGGAAUUAUUGGGCGUAAAGAGCUUGUAGGCGGUUUGUCGCGUCUGCUGUGAAAUUUCGGGGCUCAACCCCCGAACUUGCAGUGGGUACGGGGCAGACUAAAAGUGUGGUAGGGGGAGACUGGAAUUCCUGGUGUAGCGGUGAAAUGCGCAGAUAUCAGGAGGAACACCGAUGGCGAAGGCAGGUCUCUGGGCCAUAACUGACGCUGAGAAGCGAAAAGCAUGGGGGAGCGAACAGG
rnacentral:rRNA from 1 species